rnacentral:lncRNA from 1 species
UAAUUCUUGUAUUAACAGGUGACUAAAGAAAUAAAGAAAUAAAUAUUAUACACUUUAUGGGAGAGGGGUACAUUUGUUAUGAAUGGGGAUUGUUCACGGCAAACAAACAAUAAGAAUAUAUGCCUCAUACAAGGGAGAGGGGUACAUUUGUUAUGAAUGGGGAUUGUUCAUGGCAAACAAACAAUAAGAAUAUAUGUCUCAUACAUCAUACAAGUAGGCAACAAUUAUCAAUCAGAUCGGAUAAAUAAA